rnacentral:rRNA from 1 species
GGCGUAAAGAGCUCGUAGGCGGUUUGUCGCGUCUGCCGUGAAAGUCCGGGGCUUAACUCCGGAUCUGCGGUGGGUACGGGCAGACUUGAGUGAUGUAGGGGAGACUGGAAUUCCUGGUGUAGCGGUGAAAUGCGCAGAUAUCAGGAGGAACACCGAUGGCGAAGGCAGGUCUCUGGGCAUUAACUGACGCUGAGGAGCGAAAGCAUGGGGAGCGAACAGGAUUAGAUACCCUGGUAGUCCAUGCCGUAAACGUUGGGCACUAGGUGUGGGGGACAUUCCACGUUUUCCGCGCCGUAGCUAACGCAUUAAGUGCCCCGCCUGGGGAGUACGGCCGCAAGGCUAAAACUCAAAGGAAUUGACGGGGGCCCGCACAAGCGGCGGAGCAUGCGGAUUAAUUCGAUGCAACGCGAAGAACCUUACCAAGGCUUGACAUGAACCGGAACGGCGCAGAGAUGUGUCGGCCACUUGUGGCCGGUUUACAGGUGGUGCAUGGUUGUCGUCAGCUCGUGUCGUGAGAUGUUGGGUUAAGUCCCGCAACGAGCGCAACCCUCGUUCCAUGUUGCCAGCGGGUUAUGCCGGGGACUCAUGGGAGACUGCCGGGGUCAACUCGGAGGAAGGUGGGGACGACGUCAAAUCAUCAUGCCCCUUAUGUCUUGGGCUUCACGCAUGCUACAAUGGCCGGUACAAAGGGUUGCGAUGCUGUGAGGUGGAGCUAAUCCCAAAAAGCCGGUCUCAGUUCGGAUUGAGGUCUGCAACUCGACCUCAUGAAGUCGGAGUCGCUAGUAAUCGCAGAUCAGCAACGCUGCGGUGAAUACGUUCCCGGGCCUUGUACACACCGCCCGUCAAGUCACGAAAGUUGGUAACACCCGAAGCCGGUGGCCUAACCCCUUGGGGAGGGAGCCUCGAAGGG